UCCACCUCUUGGCUGUUGAGAAUAGUGUGAUUCAUGUGUGUGUACAUGUAUUUGGACACCUGUUUUCAAUUCUGUUGGUACAUGCAUCAGAGUAGCACUGCUAGAUCACAGGAUAAUUCUAUGUUUAACUGUUUGAGUAACUGACAGAAUUCUCUACAGAGGCAAACUGUAUUCCCAUCAGUAAUGGAUGAAGUUUCCAAUUUCUCCACAUCCUUCCUAAUAAUAAUUUCUCCACAUCCUUCCUCUUUAAAAUGAUGAUGGUGAGUUUGCCACUGCCCUCCUUGCGGUGAGAACCGUGACACUGAUUUCCAGGACAAGGCGUCUGAGGACACAGGUGGUGAAGGUGAGGGGGGAGCUGGGAACAGGCAGCGCUGGUCCCGGAAGCCUGUGAGCCGUGGAGCUUGUCCAGAGGCUGUGGCCGACCUUCCAGAGCGAGCGAAGGUCUGAUGUCUAUUCGUAGGAGAAAGCUUAACUCAGGCUGUGUUUCCUGACCCUUUUCAAGACAAAGAUAAUGAUGAUGGAAUUCUAAAUUCAUGAACUGACUUGGACCACACGAUUGGCUCUUCACCUGGAGACUUGAGUUCAUCUUCUUCCUUAGUUGUCUGUCCCCUUCAUGAAGUGGCAUUUCAAUGUUGAGCCACUGAAGGGUCACUAAAAAAGGCCGUGUGAAAUUUGCUCCUGCGUUUAUUGUUUCAUAAAACCUGAAAUACACUUCUUCCGUUGCUCAGUCUCUCUUCUGUGUCA